GGUCAAGUGAAGAAGCGCAUACGGUGGAUGCCUUGGCAGUCAGAGGCGAUGAAAGACGUGGUAGCCUGCGAAAAGCUUCGGGGAGUCGGCAAACAGACUGUGAUCCGGAGAUGUCUGAAUGGGGGAACCCAGCCAUCAUAAGAUGGUUAUCACACACUGAAUACAUAGGUGUGUGAGGCGAACCAGGGGAACUGAAACAUCUAAGUACCCUGAGGAAAAGAAAUCAACCGAGAUUCCCUUAGUAGUGGCGAGCGAACGGGGACUAGCCCUUAAGUUGAUUUGAGAUUAGCGGAACGCUCUGGAAAGUGCGGCCAUAGUGGGUGAUAGCCCUGUACGCGAAAAUCUCUUAUCAAUGAAAUCGAGUAGGACGGAGCACGAGAAACUUUGUCUGAAUAUGGGGGGACCAUCCUCCAAGGCUAAAUACUACUGACUGACCGAUAGUGAACCAGUACCGUGAGGGAAAGGCGAAAAGAACCCCGGAGAGGGGAGUGAAAUAGAACCUGAAACCGUAUGCGUACAAGCAGUGGGAGCCUACUUUGUUAGGUGACUGCGUACCUUUUGUAUAAUGGGUCAGCGACUUAUUUUCAGUGGCGAGCUUAACCGAAUAGGGGAGGCGUAGCGAAAGCGAGUCUUAAUAGGGCGUCUAGUCGCUGGGAAUAGACCCGAAACCGGGCGAUCUAUCCAUGGGCAGGUUGAAGGUUAGGUAACACUGACUGGAGGACCGAACCGACUACCGUUGAAAAGUUAGCGGAUGACCUGUGGAUCGGAGUGAAAGGCUAAUCAAGCUCGGAGAUAGCUGGUUCUCCUCGAAAGCUAUUUAGGUAGCGCCUCGUGUAUCACUGCUGGGGGUAGAGCACUGUUUCGGCUAGGGGGUCAUCCCGACUUACCAAACCGAUGCAAACUCCGAAUACCAGCAAGUGUCAGCACGGGAGACACACGGCGGGUGCUAACGUCCGUCGUGAAAAGGGAAACAACCCAGACCGUCAGCUAAGGUCCCAAAAUCCUGGUUAAGUGGGAAACGAUGUGGGAAGGCUUAGACAGCUAGGAGGUUGGCUUAGAAGCAGCCAUCCUUUAAAGAAAGCGUAAUAGCUCACUAGUCGAGUCGGCCUGCGCGGAAGAUGUAACGGGGCUCAAACCAGGUACCGAAGCUACGGGUUCAACGCAAGUUGAGCGGUAGAGGAGCGUUCUGUAAGCCUGUGAAGGUCAGUUGAGAAGCUGGCUGGAGGUAUCAGAAGUGCGAAUGCUGACAUGAGUAACGACAAUGCGAGUGAAAAACUCGCACGCCGAAAGACCAAGGGUUCCUGCGCAACGUUAAUCGACGCAGGGUGAGUCGGUCCCUAAGGCGAGGCUGAAGAGCGUAGUCGAUGGGAAACGGGUUAAUAUUCCCGUACUUCUAGUUACUGCGAUGGGGGGACGGAGAAGGCUAGGCCAGCAAGGCGUUGGUUGUCCUUGUUUAAGGUGGUAGGCAGAGAUCUUAGGUAAAUCCGGGGUCUUAAUGCCGAGAGCUGAUGACGAGCUUUCUUUUAGAAAGCGAAGUGGUUGAUGCCAUGCUUCCAGGAAAAGCCUCUAAGCUUCAGGUAACUAGGAACCGUACCCCAAACCGACACAGGUGGUUGGGUAGAGAAUACCAAGGCGCUUGAGAGAACUCGGGUGAAGGAACUAGGCAAAAUGGCACCGUAACUUCGGGAGAAGGUGCGCCGGUGAGGGUGAAGUAUUUACUACGUAAGCCCAUGCCGGUCGAAGAUACCAGGCCGCUGCGACUGUUUAUUAAAAACACAGCACUCUGCAAACACGAAAGUGGACGUAUAGGGUGUGACGCCUGCCCGGUGCCGGAAGGUUAAUUGAUGGGGUUAGCGCAAGCGAAGCUCUUGAUCGAAGCCCCGGUAAACGGCGGCCGUAACUAUAACGGUCCUAAGGUAGCGAAAUUCCUUGUCGGGUAAGUUCCGACCUGCACGAAUGGCGUAACGAUGGCGGCGCUGUCUCCACCCGAGACUCAGUGAAAUUGAAAUCGCUGUGAAGAUGCAGUGUAUCCGCGGCUAGACGGAAAGACCCCGUGAACCUUUACUAUAGCUUUGCACUGGACUUUGAAUUUGCUUGUGUAGGAUAGGUGGGAGGCUUUGAAGCGUGGACGCCAGUUCGCGUGGAGCCAUCCUUGAAAUACCACCCUGGCAACUUUGAGGUUCUAACUCUGGUCCGUUAUCCGGAUCGAGGACAGUGUAUGGUGGGUAGUUUGACUGGGGCGGUCUCCUCCUAAAGAGUAACGGAGGAGUACGAAGGUGCGCUCAGACCGGUCGGAAAUCGGUCGUAGAGUAUAAAGGCAAAAGCGCGCUUGACUGCGAGACAGACACGUCGAGCAGGUACGAAAGUAGGUCUUAGUGAUCCGGUGGUUCUGUAUGGAAGGGCCAUCGCUCAACGGAUAAAAGGUACUCCGGGGAUAACAGGCUGAUACCGCCCAAGAGUUCAUAUCGACGGCGGUGUUUGGCACCUCGAUGUCGGCUCAUCACAUCCUGGGGCUGAAGCCGGUCCCAAGGGUAUGGCUGUUCGCCAUUUAAAGUGGUACGCGAGCUGGGUUUAGAACGUCGUGAGACAGUUCGGUCCCUAUCUGCCGUGGACGUUUGAGAUUUGAGAGGGGCUGCUCCUAGUACGAGAGGACCGGAGUGGACGAACCUCUGGUGUUCCGGUUGUCACGCCAGUGGCAUUGCCGGGUAGCUACGUUCGGAAGAGAUAACCGCUGAAAGCAUCUAAGCGGGAAACUUGCCUCAAGAUGAGAUCUCACUGGAGCCUUGAGCUCCCUGAAGGGCCGUCGAAGACUACGACGUUGAUAGGUGGGGUGUGUAAGCGCUGUGAGGCGUUGAGCUAACCCAUACUAAUUGCCCGUGAGGCUUGACCAUAUAACACCC
rnacentral:rRNA from 1 species